rnacentral:rRNA from 1 species
UACGUAGGUGGCAAGCGUUGUCCGGAAUCACUGGGCGUAAAGGGUGCGUAGGCGGGUCUUUAAGUCAGGGGUGAAAUCCUGGAGCUCAACUCCAGAACUGCCUUUGAUACUGAGGAUCUUGAGUCCGGGAGAGGUGAGUGGAACUGCGAGUGUAGAGGUGAAAUUCGUAGAUAUUCGCAAGAACACCAGUGGCGAAGGCGGCUCACUGGCCCGGUACUGACGCUGAGGCACGAAAGCGUGGGGAGCAAACAGG